CAUCGGCCCUCCCGCAACGCUACAUUGUGAACCCCGUCAGGCCUGGAAGGGAGCAGCGGCAACAAUCGAUGCGUGUGCCGGGUUUCGGGUGGGUGUG
rnacentral:SRP_RNA from 1 species